rnacentral:lncRNA from 1 species
CUUAAAUUAUUUUGAUAGAUUUAUCUCAAAUUCUUUUCAUAUAAAUUUUAUAAAAUAAAUUAUUGUAUAAAUUUACUUUGCGCAUAAUUAUUUUUAUAUAAUUUUUUAUUUAAUUAAUAAUUAGACUUAUAAAACUAUAUAAAAAUAUUAAAAAAUAUAUAAUUUAUUAUAAAAAUAAUUUUAUAUCCGCAGCAUCGCGAGGGUAAUUCACUAGUAAAUAAAUAAAAGAAAGACAAGUCU